rnacentral:rRNA from 1 species
CCUACGGGUGGCAGCAGUGGGGAAUAUUGCACAAUGGGGGAAACCCUGAUGCAGCGACGCCGCGUGAGUGAAGAAGUAAUUCGUUAUGUAAAGCUCUAUCAGCAGGGAAGAAAAUGACGGUACCUGAGGAAGAAGCCCCGGUUAAUUACGUGCAAGAACCGGCGGUAAUACGUAGGGGGCAGCCGUAAUCCGGAUUAACUGGGUGUAAAGGGAGCGUAGACGGCAGUGCAAGUCUGUAGUGAAAGGCGGGGGCUCAACCCCCGGAUUGCUCUGGAAACUGUACGGCUGGAGUGCAGGAGAGGUAAGUGGAAUUCCUAGUGUAGCGGUGAAAUGCGGAGAUAGUAGGAGGAACACCAGUGGCGAAGGCGGCUUACUGGACUGUAACUGACGUUGAGGCUCGAAAGCGUGGGGAGCAAACAGGAUUAGAUACCCGUGUAGUC